AAAUAUAAAUAAAUUUUCUUUGUAAUUUUUCUGAAAAUAAAAGAUGAUGCUAUCAGUCACGACGUACAUUCAUUUUCUAUCAUUUGGCGAACUUCAUUAACAACCAAAUAUGCUUUGUGGCCACCAAUCAUCUCAGCCUGUUUCUUGCCAUCUCUCCAU